UACGGGGGGGGCAAGCGUUGUUCGGAAUUACUGGGCGUAAAGGGCUCGUAGGCGGCCAACUAAGUCAUACGUGAAAUCCCUCGGCUUAACCGGGGAACUGCGUCUGAUACUGGAUGGCUUGAGAUUGGGAGAGGGAUGCGGAAUUCCAGGUGUAGCGGUGAAAUGCGUAGAUAUCUGGAGGAAUACCGGUGGCGAAGGCGGCAUCCUGGACCGGCAUUGACGCUGAGUGAGCGAAAGCUAGGGGAGCAAACGGG
rnacentral:rRNA from 1 species